GACGAACGCUGGCGGCGUGCUUAACACAUGCAAGUCGAACGGAAAGGCCCUGCUUGCCGGGUACUCGAGUGGCGAACGGGUGAGUAACACGUGGGUGAUCUGCCCUGCACUUCGGGAUAAGCCUGGGAAACUGGGUCUAAUACCGGAUAGGAGCCAUUUUUAGAGUGAUGGUUGGAAAGUUUUUUCGGUGUGGGAUGAGCUCGCGGCCUAUCAGCUUGUUGGUGGGGUAAUGGCCUACCAAGGCGGCGACGGGUAGCCGGCCUGAGAGGGUGGACGGCCACAUUGGGACUGAGAUACGGCCCAGACUCCUACGGGAGGCAGCAGUGGGGAAUAUUGCACAAUGGGCGCGAGCCUGAUGCAGCGACGCCGCGUGGGGGAUGACGGCCUUCGGGUUGUAAACGCCUUUCGCUAGGGACGAAGCUUUUUGUGACGGUACCUAGAUAAGAAGCACCGGCUAACUACGUG
rnacentral:rRNA from 1 species